UUGUAAGUGUUUAAGGGCGCAUGGUGGAUGCCUUGGCACUGGGAGCCGAU
rnacentral:rRNA from 1 species